AGAGGAGAAGAGUCUCCUAAAACUGGGGAAAAGAAAACCCUCUCAAUAUUAUGAAACUUGGGGAACAGCAUCACAAAGAUGAGUUGAGACGUGUCUUUCAUCAAGUCUGGUGAAAUUGAGAAAGAUCCAAAUUGAGAACGAGGAAUUCAAAGAAGCGCAUCAUGAUUAAGAAUGUGCCUUUCAAGAGGAACAUGAGGAAGAGCUGAUCUAGCCUGGCAACGCUGAGAAAGAGUCUUUUAAGACCAAGGAUGUUGAGGAGCCUCUCAAGCCUGAGGAAGGUACGGAAGAAGUUCUCAAAAAUAAGGAAGUUGAGGGAGAGUUUCUCCAAAAUAAAGAAGUUGAGGACGAGGUUCUCAAAAAUAAAGAAGUUGAGGAAGAUUUUCUCAAAACUUAGGAAGUUUAGGAAGAGCCUUUCAAGCCUGAAGAAGUUUAGGAAGAGUCUCUCAAGACCAAAGUGUCAUGAUUCCCCCUUGAAGCAGCGUGCUCUAAGCGCGAAUGCGUGAGCACCUGCUUUUCCGUUGUUGACCGUAGUGACAUCUGGACACGUGUGUUUUGUUUAUGUUUCUGUCAUGUCUCCUCCCUGUUCUGUCAUUGGCUGGGAUUUCACGUGGGUCUGUAUUGCUCUCAGCUGCUAGCGGUUUAGACGCUGAUCAUGUCCACAUAUAUACCGCGCGCCUUCCAGCACACAACGUGGAACAUUAUCGUAGAGUUAGUUUAGUUCGUGUCGUAGUCGUAGUCGUAGUCGUAGUCACGGUCCAUGUUUAGAGUUAGUUCGCGCUGGAUUAUCCGCUCCCAGUUCCUCGUCAUAGUUCGUUUCUCGUUUUUUGUUUAUCGACCCUGUUUUCCGUGACCAUGACCUAGAUUCCAGCCUUGCCCCGUGUAUGCCUGUUUUCCAAUCGCCUGACCUCUUGCAUGUUUGCGGAUUACGUUUUGGAUCACGUUUUGGAUUUGUCUGCCUGUCUCUCUUUCAAAUAAACAACUGUUCAUCCUGCACUUGCAUCCGUCCUAUCUCCGCUCCGUCACGAUACGUGACAUAAAGAAGGUGAGGAAGACUUUCUCAAGACUUAAGAAGUUGAACUGAAAGGAAGUGUCUCAGGUCUGAAGAAGUUGAAGGAGAGGUUUAAAAAAUAAGGAACUGGAUGAAGUGGUUCUCAAAACUGAGGAAGUUCAAGAAGACCCUUUCAAGCCUAGGGAAGAAAAGGAAGAGUCUCUCAAGACCAAGGAAGGUGAGGAAGAUUGCUACAAAGCUGAAGAAGAGUCUCUCAAGUCUGAAGAAGUUGAGGAAGAGCGUCUUCUCUUCUCUCCACUUGGGCAGGAAAACCAUCCAUGAGCUGCAGUAAAAUGUAGCCUUAGUGUUUGUUGAUACAGUGGGGGUCAUGAUGUCUGAGUCCAGCAGCAAGAAUUGACCAUUUUACUCAACUGGCCAGAUGUGUCGUUAUCUGUAGCAUCCCUGCUGGUGCCUCUACAAAUUACACCUGCAACAUGAGGGGUCGUCAUGUGAACAUCAUUCCCGAUGUUAUCCAGGCUCUCACGCUCUGUGAAGUGUAAGUCUAUGGGGUUCCAGUGCCUGUUACUAAGAGGGCAUUUCUGAGAUUGAAGUUUAACAGCAGUGAGGAUCUUAUGAACCCUACUGUGAGGGACAAAAUUCUUCAAAAGAUGAUAUCUGCCAAUGUCCAGCCUUCAGUGCGUCAGAUCCGUUGGACUAAGGAACCAGAGGUGGAAAAAGAAACUUAAAAAACGGUGGCAGAAAUAUAUCUGAAACAACAAGAAAAAGAUGAAGUGGAAGAAGAACUGUUCAAAGAACAAAAAGAAAAAAAAUCAAAUGUGUGAGGUUUGGGUGUAGCACUUGAAAAUACUAGCUAACUGAUGUUAUAGGUUUAUUAAUUAGAAGUACUAGAAGUUUUUUAGUUUAUUUGUUUGGGAAAUGUAUCUAUGAAAAAUUACCACAGGGUUUGUACAAGGUGCUUGAAUUUGGCAUUUGGAAAUAUAAGUACUGGAAGACCUUAAAUAGCCUUUUUUUAUGUAACAGUGGUUAAAAAGUGCUUGAAUGUUAUUUAUUUAUUGACUUUUUAUCAAUCACUUUAAAGGGUUUAUUUUCAAAAGAACACGAAUACAACCCUUUCACUCAAAAUAUGACUCCCCGCUGCAGCCCCUCCUCCUCCUGCUGUUCACUCAUUCAUUUUAACAGGGACAGCUUCGGACCACUUCUCAGACCCCUUUAGCAACUUUUUUUUUUUUUAAAGCACCUAGCGACAUAUCUAGAGACUUUUCAGACAAACCUUAGCUACUUUCCGUAGAAGAGAAUGGCCAGUACUGCCUGGUGAGUGCGAGGUCCUGCUUUCAGAAACAGAAAAAAUAUGUAAAUGAGAACAGCUUUAUUGGGAAUUCGGCUGUAUUAAAAUUCAGCAUGUGAGCACAGAGAGUAGGAUGUAAUAAAGGGCUGACUCUAGGCAGAGUGAAAAUACGAUGCAAUGGUGAAAUUAUGGUGAAAAUGAAGCAAUGACUGGGAAAUACAAAUUUAGUCCAUCACGGCUGGGAAAAGGGGCUAUAUUAAAAUGGUUGUUUAAAAAAAUAUAUAUAUAUAUUUAUUAUUAUUAUUAUUAUUAUUAU